UAGGGAAUUUUCGUCAAUGGGCGCAAGCCUGAACGAGCGAUGCCGCGUGAGUGAAGAAGGCCUUCGGGUCGUAAAGCUCUGUUGCGGGGGAAAAAAGGCAGCAUCAGGAAAUGGGUGCUGACUGAUGGUGCCCGCCAGAAAGUCACGGCUAACUACGUGCC
rnacentral:rRNA from 1 species